rnacentral:lncRNA from 1 species
GGAGGUCCCGAUGCAGCUCCUGAAAGUGUCGGAAUUUCUUCUUGGUUGUCCAGGGUCCAGAAAAAGCACCUAGCCAAGAUGGGAUGGCCUCGAACUGGGGCGAGGUUAAGUCCAAGGGAGGAGCCCUGGUGACAGCAGGGCUCAAAGUCAGGCCAGACUGACUGGAAGCGAGGGUCCCGGCGGGAAUGAGGAAGUUACGCGCUCCCCGCCCAGAAGAGAAAUCCUGAAAUCUGGAUGAGCGGCUGAGUCAGAAGGCCCGAGCAGCUCCAGCCUGACAACGUCCCCGCCCGGUUCCCGGGGCUCCGGACCUCAGCGGCACUACGUCCGGGGCCCAGCACCUUGGAUGCGGGCCCCGGCGCCCGAGCGGGUUCGGAAGCAGAGGGAGCAGAACUCAGCAAGGAGCCUACACCCUAGAGGACCUGGGCGGGGCCGGGGUUCAGAGCCUGCCCUCGGGGGCGGGAAGGACCCCAGGGCUCACCUCCACAGCUGUCGCGUCAGCUGGGUCCCGCCCCCGCCGUCCUCUGCCCGCCCUGCGUUAGAGACGCCCGGGCCCAGGCCGCCCACUCCAGGGCCACCCACUCCCCAGAGUUGUCCUCUUCCUCCGGCUGCCCUCGGGGCACCUGGCUGGCUAGGUCCAGCACCCCGCAGUGUGCGAGCCACGCAGCGCACAUUCCUCUACUGCGCGUGCACGCGCGGCCAUUGGGUAGUCUGGUCCCCAGCGCUGCCUGGAUCAGGGCGGAACUGGCCUGGGUUGGACCUGCUGUUAUCCCCUCGGUGGGCCCGGUACAGACAGCCUUUGUUGAUGGGAGGUAAUACGAGCAUAAAAAGCCUAGUGACUGCAAGCUCGUUGCUGUAUGAGAAAUCACAUUCUUCAUUCAUGAAAGGUUUAUUUCGCAGGAGCGAUUAAUCAGACAUUGAGGUACAAUAAUAGACCAGUCUUGAAACCUGAGUCCUAAUCGCCUGUAAGUUUAAGUCUGGAAAAGACUUUUUUCCCCCCAGAUCCUAAAGGCUGUCCUUUUCUUCCAAAUUGCCACUGAAUCAGCAUUCGAAUUGUUUUAGGUUUUGUCCACUGGAAAUGGACUUCCAAUAAACGUUUGUGUACCUGUG